GUACGGGGGGGGCAAGCGUUGUUCGGAAUUACUGGGCGUAAAGGGCUCGUAGGCGGCCAACUAAGUCAGACGUGAAAUCCCUCGGCUUAACCGGGGAACUGCGUCCGAUACUGGAUGGCUUGAGGUUGGGAGAGGGAUGCGGAAUUCCAGGUGUAGCGGUGAAAUGCGUAGAUAUCUGGAGGAACACCGGUGGCGAAGGCGGCAUCCUGGACCAAUUCUGACGCUGAGGAGCGAAAAGCCAGGGGGAGCAAACGGG
rnacentral:rRNA from 1 species